AUUGAACGCUGGCGGCAGGCCUAACACAUGCAAGUCGAGCGGAGCGGCGGACGGGUGAGUAAUACGUGAGUAACUUGCCCUCCUUUUUGGGAUAAGCCUUGGAAACGGGGUCUAAUACCGGAUAGUGGGGGAUGGGCCCGCGGCCUAUCAGCUUGUUGGUGGGGUAAUGGCCUACCAAGGCGGCGACGGGUAGCCGGCCUGAGAGGGUGGACGGCCACAUUGGGACUGAGACACGGCCCAGACUCCUACGGGAGGCAGCAGUGGGGAGUAUUGCACAAUGGGCGGAAGCCUGAUGCAGCGACGCCGCGUGGGGGAUGACGGCCUUCGGGUUGUAAACUCCUUUCACCAUCGACGCGGUAGAUGGAGAAGAAGCACCGGCUAACUACGUGCCAGCAGCCGCGGUAAUUC
rnacentral:rRNA from 1 species